rnacentral:rRNA from 1 species
UACGUAGGAGGCGAGCGUUGUCCGGAUUUACUGGGCGUAAAGCGUGCGCAGGCGGUUCGCUGUGUCCUGUGUGAAAGCCCCGGGCUUAACCUGGGAAUGGCAUGGGAAACUGGCGGGCUGGAGUGUGGCAGAGGGGGGUGGAAUUCCGCGUGUAGCAGUGAAAUGCGUAGAGAUGCGGAGGAACACCAGUGGCGAAGGCGGCUACCUGGACCAGCACUGACACUGAGGCACGAAAGCGUGGGGAGCAAACAGG